rnacentral:rRNA from 1 species
GACGAACGCUGGCGGCGUGCUUAACACAUGCAAGUCGAACGGAAAGGCCCCUUUGGGGGUACUCGAGUGGCGAACGGGGGAGUAACACGUGAGUAACCUGCCCUUGACUUCGGGAUAACUUCAGGAACCUGGGGCUAAUACCGGAUAGGAAUCCUUGCUGCAUGGGGGGGGUUGGAAAGCUUCGGCGGGUUUGGAUGGACUCGCGGCUUAUCAGCUUGUUGGUGGGGUAGUGGCUUACCAAGGCGUGGACGGGUAGCCGGCCUGCGUGGGCGACCGGCCACAUUGGGACCGAGAUACGGCCCAGACACCUACGGGAGGCAGCAGUGGGGAAGAUUGAACAAUGGGCGGAAGCCUGAUGCAGCAACGCCGCGUGCGGGAUGACGGCCUUCGGGUUGUAAACCGCUUUCAGCAGGGGCGAAGCUUGUGGUGACGGUACCUGCAGAAGAAGCACCGGCUAACUACGUG